UGUAUGUGAGUGUGUGAGUGAGAGAAAAAGUGUGUGUGUAUGAGUGCGUGGAUGUGUGCAUGUGUGUGUGUGUAUGUGUGAGUGACUGGGUGUGAGAGAGUGUGCGUGCAUAGGUCUGUGAGUGCGUGUGCAUGAGUAAACAUGAGUGUAUGUAUUUGUGAGUGCGUGUGCAUGACUGAGAGAGAAAGGGUGUGUGUGAGAG